GGAGGGGUGGCCGAGUGGUUAAAGGCGUCAGACUGUAAAUCUGAUCUCUUCGGAGUACGUUGGUUCGAAUCCAUCCCCCUCCACCA
rnacentral:tRNA from 2 species